CCAAGACCAAAAGACCUGCUUCUCAUUAGAAAUCACAGUGAUCGAUCAUAGCAUCACACAGCCCGGGUGGUGUCUGCAGCGAGGUGGGCCUGCCUGCUUUCCGGCUAGGAGAGAUGCAGGUCCUUCCUCACCAGUGGCAGUGAUGGCCAGUGUCGGCCUGGACUUAGAAGCUCCUGAGCAGCAGACAUAGCUCCGUAGCUAACGUAAGACACAGAACACGCCUUGUACAGUCUUCUGGUGGCUGAGCAAAGGAAGUGGAGUCCGUAAGAAUUGGCAACAUGGAAACAAAAGGAUUGGACUUGAGGAUGGCAAAGACCCAGGUAAGGUGGCAUCCUUAUUGUUUAAAAAAACAAGACUGGCUCCUUGGGUAGCUUAAUUAUUGACAAAUUUCCUUCCCUUUCCUUCCAUCCCUCCCUCCUUCCUGUGCACGUCCAUGGCCUUUCUGUGGGGUCUGCUCUCUCUUUUGAAGCCUAACUGGAGCUGCUUCCCUCCCUUCUCCAGCCCUGGUGCCUGCAAGUCAGCCUGUGUGUGAGGUGGGCAGGAACCUGGUGGCUGUCCCCCCUAGCAAACUCCAUCAGGGCAGCGCUGGGCCGCGGAGGGGAGCAGGCAGAUUUCUGGAACAGUGCUUGCCUGGAAUGCUCUGUGUCCUCCCAGACCCCUGUUGCUCUGCUGGCGAUGCAGAGUCUGUGCUGCAGUCUAAUCGCUGCUGAGAAUCCUGGUACUUCCAGAAAUUCCUCUCUGGCCCGUGUUGGGCUUCAUCUUGUACACAGAGGGGAGCGGAGGGAAGGAAGAUGGAGUGCUGCUCUGUGGCCUGCCUGGGAAGACCUCCGUUUUGUACGGCUUUCGCUCUCAGGGUGAUAAGCUCUUCACCGAGCGCAGUGAAUUUGCUCCUGCCAGCCUCUGGGCCAGCUUCAUCCUCCGGAAAAUCAAGGCAGCAAGUCCUCUGGAGGAGCCGCGGCCCUGUUUUCUAGGCGGGCAGACGACUCUGCAGACAAGGCGAGGACGCGCGGCUGCGACUCACCUCGGCCGCAGACGGGGCUCCGAGGAGCUGCAGGCCUCCGGGCCUUAGGCUGCCCUCACCCUCCGCUGAGGGAUGAGGAGGGUGCGGGCUGCUACUGUCAUCACUGGAAACCCCCACAGUCCGGUAAACUCAGGGACCAGGGAUCUUCAGGUGCACCGUGGCCUGGGCCCGGCAGCGCAAAGUCCCCUCUCAGGCCCGCUCUGCACACACAGGGCCUCUGCGGCCCGCCAGGCCCCUCUCUUCCCCCGCAGGGCCCGGGGUCUGGGGCAGGGGCUGUCUUCCUUCUGCCCACCCCACCCCACCCAGCCUCACCCAGCUCCUUCUGCACGCUCAGUGCGGAUAACAGUGCAGGGCACUGCUCUAUGCCCCUCUGAGUCGCUCCUGUGAAUAAACGCUUGGGGUGUGGAAUCGGAGCCCUGUGGCAGCCUGGAACCAGGGACUCAGGUCUUGCUAAAUUGCCCAAGUGGGACUUGAACGUGUGUUUCUCCUGUCUUGGCCACCCAAAGUGCUGCAUCUUUAAAUGACCUUCAAAGUGUUUGUUUGCUUGAGAAGGCCCUCCAGAGAAAUAUGCAAGGAACCUGCUAAAACUCAGCCAGUCACUCUGGCACACUCUUUUAUGUGAACUAAAGUCAACUUCACUCAUUAUCAAACCAAAUUCUCCACCCAGAAGGAUUCCUGCCCUGCACGUUUUUCAAUGUUUUGAACCAUUUUUCUCCAUCAGUUUUUGGAGCACAUGAUGUAGGACCUUGAACUGAGCCUGCUUAGGCAUGUGAAUGUGCCCGCUCUGCAUGUGACGACAGUCUUUCCUGGACGAGUCUGUGGGGAUCCCCCAUGGAAGCCCUGCUCUUCUCUGUCCAGGGAGACACUUCAGUGACAGUCACCCCCAUGCUGCAAGAUGAACCAUCCCUGAGAGAGGUGGCAAUGUAUUUCGUGACCUGACCUCAGAAAUCCUGUACAGUCACCUCAGCCAUGUUGUCUCGCUGCAGAAGAGCCCUUAAGUCUGGCUCCCAUUCAAGGUAAAGGACUUAGACUUCAUGUUUUGAAGGCAGGCAGGUCAAAGCAUUAGUGGAUGUCGUUUAGAGAUCUCUUUGUAUAAGUUUGAAAAGCAGAGGUCAUCUUGUGAUUUAGGUGAGGAAGAAAAGGGCCUGCAACCUAACUCAAAAACAGUGGGAACAGGCACAGAAUUGGGAGCCAUUAAAGUGCUGGAAUCCAUGGGGUUUGCAAACCAUUUGCAAUCAGUCUGAACUGAGGGAAACCUGGAGAGGUGGAGGGAGAGUACAGUCAGGACUCACUAAAGGCAAGACGUUUCCGGGCAGCGAAAUGGGCAUUUCACAGAGGCAGGUGUAGAUGCGGUGUGUGUGUGGGUGGAUGGGUGGGGUUGUAAGCAGGAAAUCUAUGAGUGCAAAUGAGAUGACCUUUCUAAAGGGAGUGGCGGAGAGUGGCCCCCAGAUUCCACUUGCUAACGCUGCCGGGCAAUGUGGAGGGUCUUUAGGGGUAGGUGGUCGUGCAUUUGACUGUCUGCCUGGCUACAUGGCUAUGUGGCUACCUCCAACAGAGCUACCUACCUAGUUACAGGUUUGAUGACAGGAGGCAGUGUGAAGACCUUCACUUCUAUGCCUCAGUUUCGCUAUCCAGACAUGGGGCAUAUUAGGACCUACCACAUGGAUCGAUGUAGGAUUAAACGAGAGAGUGGGUACACAUGCUUUAUACAGCUCAUGGGAUUCAGUAAAUGCUCAGUAAAAGGUCAUUAUCAGCAAAUAACACUCUAGUGGGUGGGGCAGUGGUGAGAGAGGGUCAUAAAUACAAACUUGUAGAGAAGAGCUUAUUUUAACAAUUAAUUAAUUAAUUAAUUAAUUAAAGGUGAAGCCUAGGGACGCUCCCUCACUGAGCUAUGCCUCAGUUUAUUUAAUUUGUUUUAUUUUUUGUUUUGAGAUAGAGUCUCACUAAAUUGCCCGGAUAGGACUUCCACUGUCUUAUCCUCCUGCCUCAGCCUCCUGGGUGCUGGGAUUACAGGCAUGCACCACUAUACCCGGCUGGUAGAGCUUAUUGAAUUGGCUGUGAGGCCUUCUGAGGUGUUUUGAGAUGGAAAGGCUUAGAGUCUGGGUCUUAGGUCCCUGCGGGAAGGCUGCUUGGAGGCCUGAGUGUGAGCAGAUCUGACUGCCCGGCUGUCCCCAUGACUACCGUGCAAUGCUGCGUGAACUUUGUUUUGCCCCCUUUCUUUCUGGGCACUUCGAAGCCACUGCACAGUCUGGGGAGCAGAUGGUGAAGGGUUACUGUCCCCUCCUGGGUCUGAGCAGAGCUUGGGGAGGCAGGGAUGAGGGACAGCGAGAGCAAGGCUCUGGCCACUGCAGGUGCCACUGUGCCGAGCACCCUGUCUCUUACUGUCCCGUCGUCCCUGCCGGGUACUGGGGGGACAGCCGAGGAGGGACUCGGUUUUCUGAACUGGCUCCAGUGUGGCGUUCUUGCUCAGAUGAAAAGAAAACCCCUCGUUGUGAAGCACGCCAGACUGGGACAGACACGCGAUGGGCCCUUUUUGUCCUUGGCUGGAGUCAAGCAGGGACGGAAGUGUUCACACGCACUUUCCUUAUGGGACCCAGAGCCGCCAUGAUGCUCCUGACUGUCGUGAGUGCUGUGCAGACUACUGGGAUGUGUGGUGAGAAGUCCAGGGGUCCUGUCCUCGGCUCUAGUCGACCAUCUUGCUCAGAGACUACAAGUCCCAGCAUCCUUUGCAGACGAGCCCGGCAGCCUCAGCCUGCCUUGAAGGAGAGACCCUGAGGUGACCCCCCAGUCCUGGCCACAAGAAAAUGCUCUCUAUCAAAAGACAGUAGAGACCUUUUCACUCCCAGUGGCUUCCUCACACCGCAAGGAGACAGAAACUCAAGACCUCCUCCCUGCUCAUUCAUUGAGCCAAGGACCAGAACUUUGGCAAGCUCGCAGGCUUUGUCAGAUGGGAGCCAUGGCAGUGAAUAAAAAAAGUGAAACCAGAUGUGCUUCCCUCCACUUGCUCCAUAUCCAAGCAGGGACGGAGGGAGGAGGCCGUAAAAAUGUCACAGCCCUUGAUUUCCGAGGCCCAGAUUACGCGCCGGGUAACCUCGCACCGUAAAUCCACGCUUCCGAAGGGGCAGGCCCAGCUGCGUGUGGACGCGAGGAGGCGGCCCUGCCGAGCCAGCUCAAGCCGGAAGGAGGAUGAGAAGACAGCUAGGACCAGACAGACUUCAGGAGCCCACAGAGGCCGGAACUUAUCCUGGUGCCGCUGGGAGCCAUCAGACUGCCGAUUUCCAAAGCUUAUUUUGAGUUGGGCAUGUUGAGGCAUUCAUCUACAAGCCCAGCACUCUGGGAAGCGGAGGCAGGGGGAUCAAAAGUUCAAGCCCAGCCUGUUUCAAAAUAAAAAAUAGCAAAGGGGUGGUACUUAAUGAGACCCUGUUUCAAAGUAAAAAAUACAAAGAGCCGGAAUGAGGCUCAGUGAGAAGGCCCUGCGUUCAGUCCCCAGUACCACAGGCAUACACACGCACACACACACACACACACACACACACACCCCGAGUUAUUUUGCUGGCCAUGGAAAGAACAGAUUAUGCAGCUAUGGGUGAGAAUGUUAGAGAGGAGACAACUUCAGAGGCCAUGACAGACUUCCAAGCUCAAGAUGGUGGCUUAGACGAGAUGGAUGCCAGGAAGCAGAGAAGGGUGCACAAGCUCAGAGGUCGGGGCCAAAGGCAGUGGAAGAACACUGGGACUCCCGUGUGAGCAGCGAGGGCAGCUGAGACAAGGAUCCAGUUUCCUGAAAAGAGAAAGAGUUUGUUUUGGACGAUUUAAGUUAGAAACCCUAUUGACAUCCCGGUGGAUGUUUCAGAUAAUUGGAUAUAUGGGUUUAGAGAUAGGUCAGGACUGGGGUCAGGGCUGGGGUGUACAUUUGUGAAUCAAGUCACAGAAGAUGUUUAACAAGGAAUUAUGGCAUGGAUAAAUCAAUAGGAACAGAGUUGCUUGCCCUGGCUGCUCCUGCUGUUGACAUUGCUGCUACAGCCACCUUCUGCCUCUGUGUGGCCACCCGACUAGAGCCAGAGGAUCUGAGGUUGUGGCUGCAUGUGCUCACGUGGCUGUUGCUUCUUGCUUUGCCAAGGAUGCCAGCUGUCAUUGGUGGGUCUGCGUAGCUGAGCCCAGAGGUGCCACUUCUGCUGUUAAACAUGGCACCAUGGCAACAGAGCUCCUCACCAUCUUGACCCAGCCCAGCAGGACUCCUCUCCAGUUCUCCAUUUCUUUCUUCAUGCAUCAUCUGGCUCAGAUUUUCCACUCUCCUAACAUUCUCUCAGCUUGUUGACAUUUUUACAGUGGGUAUAACCUUAUUAUUUGGUUUUUAGUCACUUAAUAUCAGCAAUUGGCUUUUUGUUUCAUCCAUGUUGCAUGAAGUGUGGCACUGGUUUCUAGUCUGUCCUAAUGGCUAAGUCCUGACAGCUGACUUUGCCCUGGGCUCCUAGGUGUCUGACCAGCUGAUGGCCGGAGCAUCACUGAUCACUGUGGGAUUGGUCAGGAUCACACUCGUCUGCGAUGCCUGUUGACAAGAACACAGGUCCUGGUCUCCCAUUCUGUCCAUGAUUAUUGUAUUUCAUGCAAUUUCCAUUUUACACAGCAACCAUGUUUUGUAUUUGUUCCAAUUUAAAUAGUAGCAAAUGUUCAGUUCAGUGGGUUCUUCAUAUGAAAUGGCUCAACAGCCUCCUCCCUCCUCCAAGUAAGUCUGAAAACAGAUGUGAGCUCAUAUUGUAGAGCUAAACACUGCACUUGUGUGACUGAAGCCGGCUCAGAUGCUCCGGGACAGCUGAGCAUCGUGGUGGGAAUUAUUGUGCUCUAGUGUGCAGCCCUGGCCCUACUUAUUUAAUCCUGGGAUGGACCCUGUUUCUCUACACCUGUGAGCCUCCAUCCCCUGAGGAAUCCUUGAAGCUCUUAGAAGUCUCUGAAAGAAACAAAUGGAGCCCACAGUGUAGGGCAGGGUAUUUGCUUGGCUUUUGGUGAUAUCUGAAUCACUCCCUAGACUGGGUAUGUGAUGCUGUCCCACUUGGGAGCCUUGGUACUGAGAACUGGGGUGACAAUGGAUGUGUGCAGUGUAUGAAAGGGGUGGACCCUUAGAUCACCCAGAGCAAGGAUGUGGAGUAAGACUGAGAACCAGGGAGAGGCCCCAGGGGCAGCACCCACAGGUCAAGGCGGCUAGCAGGAAGCCAACUCCUGAAGGGUGACAGGGGAAGAUUGUUGGGUGGGAAGUAGGUGUGGGUGGGAAAGCAGGGAAUGGCAUCAUGGAGGCUGGGGGAGAAGUUCAGUCCAGUUCUGGAAGGAAGAAUGGUGAGUCAGCCCACUGCAGAGACACCAGAUGAGAAUGCAAGUCAGCAGCACCUGGUGGCUUUAACAACAGUUGGUCAGUGGAGAAAUGUUGCAUCAGGAAGUUAGAAAAUGAGCCACAAAAACACUGGGUGAAGCUAUGCAGAGAGAAUCUGGCAAACAGAUUCAGGGCAGGGGCCAGAAGACAGGCGCAGUGUUGAGGUUGGGAUCUGAUCUGCUUGGUUUUGUGCACUCAGCUUUGCUUGGAGGUUUGGGUGGGGGUUUAAUGGGAUUUAUUUCAAAGAGAACACACAUGUGGAAGAAGGCUAUGAGUGCCAGAAAAAGGCAGAGAGAGUAACAGACUGAGAGAGCCAUUCACUUUUCAAAAUCAACUACUCAGUCCACACCUUCACAGCUCAAGCUCACCUCUCCCAGGCCCAAUAAAAGUGUCACAGCCCUGUCCCUGAAGCUGUUUGGGGCAACUCUGCUAUUGCUGGGAGACACCAUAGUUCCUUCUUAUUCAAGGUUUUGCUUCUUGGUGUUUAAGUUACCAGUGUUCAACUGUGGUCCAAAAAUAUUAAAUGGAAAAUUCCAGAAGUAAGCAAUUCACCAGUUUUAAGCUGUAUAUCCUUCUGCACGGCAUGAUGAAAUCUCAUGCAGUUUCAUGUCAUCCCACCUGGGAUACAAAUGAUCCCCUUGUCCAGCGUAUCCACACUGUAUAUGCUACCCGCUUUGUAGUCACUUAGUAGAUAGCCUGAUUAUCAAAUUGAUUGUUGAAAUAUUAUAGUGCUUAUGUUAAAUAACCUUUAUUUUGCUUUUAACAAUAGCUCCAAAGUGCAAGAGUGGUGAUACUAGCAUCUUUAUUAUAAUAUAUUGUUAUAAUAGUUCUAUUUUAUUAUUAGUCGUUAAUCUCUUCCUGCACCUAAUUAAUAAAUGAAACCUUAUCACAAGUGUGUGUGUAUAGAAAUAUAGCGUAUGUAGGAUUUAAUACUACAGUUUCUGGCUUCCACUGAGGGUCUUGGAACAUACUUCUAUCGAGAAGGGGAUAACAGUGUUUUUGUUGUCUUUAUCAUAGUUGUGGUUUUCAUGGAGAGAAUCUUGGUGAUGCAAUGAAG
ensembl:lncRNA